rnacentral:rRNA from 1 species
ACCUACGGGAGGCAGCAGUGGGGAAUAUUGCACAAUGGGGGAAACCCUGAUGCAGCGACGCCGCGUGAAGGAAGAAGUAUUUCGGUAUGUAAACUUCUAUCAGCAGGGAAGAAAAUGACGGUACCUGACUAAGAAGCCCCGGCUAACUACGUGCCAGCAGCCGCGGUAAUACGUAGGGGGCAAGCGUUAUCCAGAUUUACUGGGUGUAAAGGGAGCGUAGGCGGCGAUGCAAGUCAGAAGUGAAAGCCCGGGGCUCAACCCCGGACCUGCAUUUGAAACUGUUGGUCUUGAGUAUCGGAGAGGCG